rnacentral:rRNA from 1 species
CAGUCGAGCGGAUGAGGUAGCUUGCUACUGGAUUCAGCGGCGGACGGGUGAGUAAUGCUUAGGAAUCUGCCUAUUAGUGGGGGACAACGUUCCGAAAGGAGCGCUAAUACCGCAUACGUCCUACGGGAGAAAGCAGGGGACCUUCGGGCCUUGCGCUAAUAGAUGAGCCUAAGUCGGAUUAGCUAGUUGGUAGGGUAAAGGCCUACCAAGGCGACGAUCUGUAGCGGGUCUGAGAGGAUGAUCCGCCACACUGGGACUGAGACACGGCCCAGACUCCUACGGGAGGCAGCAGUGGGGAAUAUUGGACAAUGGGGGGAACCCUGAUCCAGCCAUGCCGCGUGUGUGAAGAAGGCCUUUUGGUUGUAAAGCACUUUAAGCGAGGAGGAGGCUACCUAGAUUAAUACUUUAGGAUAGUGGACGUUACUCGCAGAAUAAGCACCGGCUAACUCUGUGCCAGCAGCCGCGGUAAUACAGAGGGUGCGAGCGUUAAUCGGAUUUACUGGGCGUAAAGCGUGCGUA